rnacentral:rRNA from 1 species
UACGUAGGGGGCGAGCGUUGUCCGGAUUUAUUGGGCGUAAAGAGCGUGUAGGCGGCCAGGUAGGUCUGCUGUGAAAACUCGAGGCUCAACCUCGAGACGUCGGCGGAAACCAUCUGGCUAGAGUCCGGAAGAGGAGAGUGGAAUUCCUGGUGUAGCGGCGAAAUGCGCAGAUAUCAGGAAGAACACCCGUGGCGAAGGCGGCCCUCUGGGACGGUACUGACGCUGAGACGCGAAAGCGUGGGGAGCGAACAGG